UUGGGGUUGUGGCUCAGUGGCAGAGUGCUCGCCUGGCAUGUGUGAGGUACUGGGUUCAAUCCUCAGCACUAAA
rnacentral:tRNA from 1 species